rnacentral:lncRNA from 1 species
AAUAAUUAAAUGCUAACAAGAUCCUUUCUUACAAAAUAUUUUGACCCUCAUAUCUUAUUAAAUAUUAUUUUUAUUAGUGAAUCAUCAAAUGCUUAAAAUCACUCAUAAUAUUAUUUUGAUCAUUGAAGAAAUAAAACAGCAACAAAACAAGACAAACGAACUAAAUACAUCUAGUCAGAGACACUCCCAAAUCAUCUGCUAGGACUAAGUAAGAAAUAUCUACUGGACAUUGGUUCCAGAUCGACAAAGUAGAAUCAUUUUGAGCUCCUUUCUUCGCAAAAGCAUCAGCACAGAAAUUACUCUACCUGUAGCAAUGACUAAACACAAUAUGACCUUGCUGAGAUGUGAAGGAACGGAUUUGCUCCACCAAAGGAUAAUAAGGAUGAUAAACAGAAGUACCGCUGCUAAUAAGAUCAAUACCAACUUUUGAAUCUGAAUGACAAAUCAACCAUUAGAGUUUAAUUUCACAUAAUUUUCCGAAGGAGGACUCCAGGAAAACCAGAAUAUUAUUAUGAGGCCUAGGAGUACUGAUGUAGAGCAUAUCUCGAUAUUUUUGUCAAAACGACAUCUUAUUUUUUACUAUAAUUCUAAGAAUAUUUGUUGCUUUAUUUUAGGAUUUUUUUUUUUAUAUUUUGUUGUUUUUUAUUUUAAGAAAUUAGGAAGAUAUGAUCAUAUUUAAUUCGGGAAAUCAGGAAGAUAGGAUUCUUAUUUAAUAAGAAAAAUUAAGAUGAUAUCAUCCUUAUUUUUUCUUAUUUAGGUUUAUUCUGUCUAUAUAUGAAACAAUUUUAUGUAAUCACAAUAUAUUGAAAUAAAAUGAAUUAGGAAGGCUUUUUCAUGCAUCAACCUCUAGGUAAUUUUAUGAACCAAUCUGUCUGAAGUUUGUCUUGGUAUCUUUCCACAUUUCGAGCCUUUCAAAUCUGCUAACAAGUUACUGCGAAAAGAGCGUCAUAAUCAGCCUUGAUGUGAUAUGAUGUGUCUUCACAGCCAAGUUUAAAUGUCCUCACUAUGACCAGGAGAAACAUCCAUACGAAGCAAAUUCCAAAUUCUGAUAGCUUUGGGACAGUGAACUAAAACGUGAAAAAUAGAUUUAAUAUCAGCUCCACACCUGAAACAAUGAAAAUCUAAAGACGACAAGUGAUGGUUAGCACGAAAAAGUUUUCUCAAACUCAGUCAUUACAUACAAACUUGAAUAUAUUUAAGCAUCUUUAUAAAUACUAAUACUUUAAUUUCAUUCUCAAGCAUUAUGACUUAAUUUUAAUUUAAUUAGUAGUCUCAAAUUUAAGUCUUAGAUAAUAAUUUAAUUUGAGUCAAACAAGAUUAUGUUUAAUAAAAAAAAUACAUAUUUAUACUAAGAAUACAAGUUGAGACAUGAUAUUAGACAUGACACAGACAUAGAAAUAUGCUUACGAUACAAAAAACACGACACAACACGCGCAUGCGUGUACAUACACAUAUGUAAGAUGUGAUCAACAUCAUUAUGACAAAAAUUUUAAUAUGAUCAAACAUAAUAAUAAAAUUUAUAUAUUCAUAUGGUAAAAUUUAACUUUAUGACAUAUCUCUAUAGGAGUUUUAUUUGAUCCUCUUGCUCCAUAGCUUCAUUAGCACUACUCAUCUCUAUAAUAAAAAAAUGGAUACAAUAAGAAUUAAGCAAAAUAAAACAUUGAACAAAUCCUAUAUAUGUAUGAAUGAGCACGUGACCAGUUAGGAAAAAAAACUUUGAUUAAAUAAAGAAAGACAAAAUAAAAAGUCCAUAGUCACUUUCUCUGUUUUUUGAUCAGCCAAACAAAAAGAAUUUUAUCUAUAACAAAUCCACAAUACAACCAAAGAAACCCCCAAAUAGGAAAUGUUAAACCCAGAAAUCCAGAAUUUUAUAUUAUGACACGGAAAAUAAAAAAUAGAAAAGAAAAAUAGGGGAGCAACAAAAAAAUAAAAAGUAGAAAAGAAAAACAAGGGAGCAAUAGAAAAAUAAAGCAUAGAAAAGAGAGAGAUAGAGGAGCAACAAAAAAAAAUAAAAGGUAGAAAAGAGAAAGAGGGAAUUUAUCUUGUGUUCUAUGCGCGAUGACGGAGGUCUCACAUGGUCUGAGCGCGACAGUCUGCACGCAGCAACGACGUGCUUUGCGUGUGAAGAUGAAGGUCCAACAAUGGUGUUUGGUUUGCUUGCAGAGCAGAAAACGUGAAGGAGAAGAAGAAGGUUUGUCUCGUGUGUGAGAAUCAAGGCGAUUCGUUCUCUAUCAUAAACAUUUUUUUAUUUUUAUUGACAAAUAAUAAAAAAUAGAUGAUCUGUUUGUGUUUGGAUGGUGG